CUCGCAGUAGAGUAUGCUCAUAGUAGAGUACAAUUCAGAUUCAGAAAUGGUGCAAUGAGAAAAAGAAAGAGAGCUCGAGCUUAGAAAAGUUUCAAAUCCCUGUAGUCAACUUCCAAAAAGUAUCAAAUGGACACCAGAUGAGACAAAGUGUGACCCAAAUAGUAAAGGAUGAACUAGAUUAGCCCCUCGAUUCCUUGAGGAGGUUAUGAUGUGAGAUUGAGUCUUGAGAGUGACUUAGAAAAGUGUUAAAUCCCUGUAGUCAACUUCCAAAUAGUUUAUUUAAUUCUUUUCCCUUACUGAGUGUUCUUAUCUCUCACUUCCUUUUCUUUCAUGAUUGCAAGUACAAGUGAUCGAGGUAGUUGUGAGGCAGGGUUAGGUCAGCAAAGAUAGGUCCGGGCUAGGCUAGGUUAUCUAUGAUUUUUGUUGCAUGCAUAUGAUAUUGUUGACUUUUAACCCUAUUCAGAUAAUUGUACAAUUGUAUCUAGGGGCAUGUAAAUGAUUACUCUAUGAUUUCAAAUGUUUUCAUAUGAGUUUUCAUAUGGGAUAUAUACAUCUUUUGUUCGCUUCCAAAUUUUUAGUUUUCUCAGAAUAAUUUGGGAACACUUUUAGCGACGAGUUCAUUUUAAAAUUUGUUUUAAAAUAAAUGCUCCAGAUAUUAAUUCGUAACAUUUUUCCUUCAGAAGACAGCACUUCUGGGGAGGGAUGUUACAGUAAUGUAAGUACAAAAUCCUUGAGCUUAUAAUAUUUUAGGUCAAAACAUGCUGAUAAGAUCCCCUUUAUGUCCCCAUGUCCCUUUCUCAUAUGGUAAAGGGAUGGCUGAUGGUUGUGCAAAUUUAAUAAAGCAAGUGUUGCUUCCAGAGGAAAUUUACUCCAUUUCUAGGGCUUUUUGUUUGCCUAAUCUUCACGAUAUGCCUGAUCUUGGAACUUUUUCCUAUGGUAUUUUUUAUAGAUGAUUUGGCUUACCGCAUAGUAGUUUAAUAGUUUCAAGGUAAAGCUUACUUUAUGUUGCCUUCUGAACUAUUUGGCUAACUUUCGGCAAUUUACAUUCGUGGUCUAUGCUUUGUAGUUCUCUAUUACAGAAUGUUGAAGUGCCUUUUUUUAAAUGUUAUUCAGUGUGUUUUCGGGUUGGCUUUAUCUCAGGCUGUUCGGCAUAACUAGUAAUUAAUUAGGUGUUAUAUCCAUUGCUGCUUGGCAUAACUUGGAGAAAUAAUUUGAUGUGAAAUUUGCUCAUCAUCUAGCUUCACUCUCUGUACAGGGGUUGUUGAGUCCUCGGUUAAUGGCGGGAAACAAAUUGAUGCCGUAGAUUUCAUUCAUGCCUUCAGCUUACUGAAAGCUUUCCCCCUGUUCCCCUCUUGAAGACAUACUUAAAGAAUUGAAGGAGAAACUCACAGGGAAAGGGUGUGAGUUCGGGUGGAGAUACUAGUGCACAGAUUGAUGUAAAUGCACAGGAACUUGCUGCUUUGAAAGGUGUAGUUAGUUGUGUCCAAGAGUAGAGGCUUGAACCUGACUAUCCUCUUGAUCCACUUCAGAAAAGGACUGAACAACUGGAGAGGUCGAAAUCUGAUAAGAAAAGGGGUGGAGGUUUUGGUAGACGUCAACACUUUGAGAAACAAAGAGCAAACUGAACAUCGUAGGCUUGUUCUGCCUGUUUUCUGAUCUGUUGUGCACUCGUGAGCAAGAUGCAACAUUUUAUUUGACAGGGAAGCAUAUGGAGGAAUACCUGAGAGAUAUCCUCUGGCUGGUCCAAACUCUUAUGAUUAUCAAGUUCCUAGCCAGCCUGUUUUUGCUCAGCAACCAAAUGAUCAAAGAAUAUGCUUUUAUCCCCAAGAUGUAGUUAUCAAAUGCAUGAUUUGUGUGCAACCUUAGUGAAUGUGUAGAGAAUUUAUUUGUGAGUGAAUAACAUUUUCCCUGACUGAGGCGAACUCUCCCGUUGAUAUGCUAAGUUAUUACCUUUUCAAUGCUUUUGUUUUGGUACGAUCUCCAUUGAUCCUUAGUGAAUGAUUGUAAUGAAUAUUCUUUUUAUUGAUAUAUGAUUUAGCAACCUUUCAAUUAACAGGCAAAUUGGUUGAAAAAUCA